GAUGAACGCUGGCGGCGUGCCUAAUACAUGCAAGUCGAGCGAACAGACGAGGAGCUUGCUCCUCUGACGUUAGCGGCGGACGGGUGAGUAACACGUGGAUAACCUACCUAUAAGACUGGGAUAACUUCGGGAAACCGGAGCUAAUACCGGAUAAUAUCUUGAACCGCAUGGUUCAAUAGUGAAAGACGGUUUUGCUGUCACUUAUAGAUGGAUCCGCGCCGCAUUAGCUAGUUGGUAAGGUAACGGCUUACCAAGGCAACGAUGGGUAGCCGACCUGAGAGGGUGGACGGCCACACUGGGACUGGGAACACGGCCCGACCCCUCAGGGAGGGCACAGGUGGGAAAUCUCCGCAAUUGGGGGAAAGCUGACCGGAGAAACCCCCGUGGGUGAAGAAAGGUUUCGGGUCCGUAAACCCCUUUUUUAGGGGAAAAAAAAAUGUGUAGGUAAUGAACGCCGUCUGACGGUAACUAAUCAAAAAAGCACCGGCAACCACGGG
rnacentral:rRNA from 1 species